GUGAACGCUGGCGGCGUGCUUAACACAUGCAGGUCGAGCGAAGCGGCAGCUGUAGCAAUACAGUAUGUGCUUAGCGGCAGACGGGUGAGUAACACGUAGAUAACCUUCCUCUUAGAGGGGGAUAGCUUGCCGAAAGGCAAGGUAAUACCCCAUACGAUCCUGUUUUGGCAUCAAGAUAGGAUGAAACCCGCAAGGGGCUUAGAGAGGGGUCUGCGGCCUAUCAGCUAGUUGGUGAGGUAACGGCUCACCAAGGCUACGACGGGUAUCCGACCUGAAAGGGUGACCGGACACACUGACACUGAGACACGGGUCAGACUCCUACGGGAGGCAGCAGUGAGGAAUCUUGGACAAUGGGCGAAAGCCUGAUCCAGCGACGCCGCGUGAAGGAUGAAGGUCUUC
rnacentral:rRNA from 1 species